rfam:Sphingomonas mucosissima strain DSM 17494 SPMT_contig000001, whole genome shotgun sequence.
GCCGGUUUAGCUCAGCUGGUAGAGCAGCGGUUUUGUAAACCGAAGGUCGCGGGUUCGAUUCCUGCAACCGGCA